rnacentral:rRNA from 1 species
ACGGGGGUGGCGAGCGUUGUCCGGAAUUACUAGGCGUAAAGGGCAGGUAGGCGGUUGUAUAAGUUAAUCGUUAAAGACCCGUGCUCACCAUGGGGAGGGCGGUUGAUACUGUAUAACUGGAAGCGAGUGGGGGAAGACGGAAUUCCUGGUGUAGCGGUGGAAUGCGCAGAUAUCAGGAGGAACACCGAAGGCGAAGGCAGUCUUCUACGCUUGGCUUGACGCUAAACUGCGAAGGUGCGGGUAUCAAACAG